rnacentral:lncRNA from 1 species
CUCGCUAAGCGAGCAGAAUGGGUCGCCUAGCGAGUCCCAAGAAAAGCCACCAGAAUCACCUACGCUCAGAGGAAUUUCUUGAACUGUCAUGCUCGUUAGGCGAAGCCCACGUGUUUAAAAAAAAAAAGAGAACGAAAAACGAAAAAAAAAACGGAAAAAAAAUGAAAAUAAAUAAAUAAAUAAAAUAUAACAAAAAAUUUUUGGACUUGGGCCUCUCUCAUUUGAGCCCACAGGUCCACAAAAAUCAGGUUAUAAAUUCAGAGUUUCAGUGAAACAAAAGGCAAUUCUAUUCCUACUACCCUGGCAGGGAAAAAGAUAGUGAGAGAAGAGCUAAUAGAGUUCAGAGCAACCUCCAGAGACUGAAGGGAACUCAUCGGAAAAUAAC